rnacentral:lncRNA from 1 species
AAAAUGAUAAUUUUGAUGAUCAGAUCACUCUUUCAGUCACAUGGAAUAAUGUUAUGAGUUAAUGGGGAAAGAGCAAAUUACUUUUCACUCUCCAGUACAGUUCUAUGUGUAGGUGCUACUGCUAACAACGGGAAUCCUGCACCAACCAAAGUUUGGAAGUACACAAUCAAAGACUUGGUCGUUACAUACUUUCAAAAUGCACCAGGUCUCCAAAUAGCAAUUUCCAUGACAAAUAGUUUGUUGAUCUAUUCGUUAACAAUCUCUCCCUCGAAUAGUUUUUGUUGCCUUUUCUCCAUUAGCAUUGCAAGGCAAAUGAAAAAUCCAAGAAAAAUACAGCUAUAUUCCUUGACAUGAGCACUUGAGCCGGCAGAAGAUUUCCAAAGAAAAUUGAAAUGGAAUAAAAGAUCCCUCAACUUUAAAUAUGCCCGCCAAAAGACUAAGGCACGCCAUGGAAUCAGGAGCCCUGCGGGAUUAGUAACAAUAUAUAUCAAUAAGGAAGCUCAUGGUUAUACAAAAUAGCAAUAGAUAUAUUUUUGGAUGAAUAGAUCAACAAAAAGAUAAAAAAAGCAAUAGAUAUAUUAGUAUUCCAAACAAAAAGAUUGAUCGCACGACAAUUAUGACAUGGGAGGAAAAUAGACAGAUGCAUCAAGUAGCAGAACGGGGCAAGAACACAACCCACUUUAUUUGUGCAUGUAUUCUCAGCAUAGAUGAAUUAUACAGUUAGAAGAAAAAAAAUACCACCAUGAGAUGGUACAUAAAAAAUCCCUUGCCAGACCACAAGUAAAAGGCAACAAAAUUUUAAGUCAGAGAAAUAAACAUGGUCACAAAGCUGAUGGCACCUAGAUUGGUAAUGUCCUAGUUCUCUACAGUAUUUCAUGAAGAUUUUGCCCCACCUUACUCACAUAAGAAGGGAACAUUACUUGCAGAUGCCGAAUCAUUUUAAAGCAGCCGAAAGAUGAAGAUUUGAGCACCCACUCCAUUGCUCCUUUGACAAAUUUUGGGUCAUUCCCACAAUCAAAUUGACCAAAAAAUAGAAUAAUCCAAUGAAUCUAGACCACCAACAAAAAUGAAAUCAUGUACAUUUGAUAGAAAUGUACAUAUGAAUAUAGCAACAAACUUCAACGAAUUGAUAUACUGAACCCUUUACAACUGGUGAUGCACAAAUAUUGAACUAUACAUAACCGGUGAUUAUUUGCUAGAUUUAGGUGGAAAUUAUUACCAUGAAGGUCAAGAUAAUGGGAAUGAAGAAAGCAUUGUGAAUGAAAAAUCAGAAUAUGAUUUGGAAUCGCAUACGCUCAAAAGAACUCUACAAUGCUGCAAAAAUAAAACCGUUUUUGAGUUAUGAAGUUUCUCUAGAGAAAAACAAAACAUAUCUUACCAUCAUAUUGCAGCGAUGAAGUAUUUUUCAAGCAUAAAAAACCAUUGGUUGUCAAUGAUAUAUCCACACAUGGUGUUAAACGACAAAACAUUGAUGCACUUUUAAUAUGUAAUCCAUGUCUUGAUCUGUUGGGAUGGCAAUAUAGAUCUCAAAGUUUGUUCGUACAGUGACGAAACAUGAGUUGUAUGACAUCAACUUCACUGAUUUAUAUAUUUUAUAUUUCAAAUGGAAGUUGUCAUGUGGCCAAAGCACCCAGCCAACUUCAUGAAAAAGAGAACGGAUCUGUGAUGACACUGAAAUAAUCAUAAUGGUAUGGAUCAGUAAUCCUUUAUGAUACAACACAUGUGCUUUUGAGACCAAUAUAAUGCAAGAGGGAACGUCAGAUUAACUUUGCAUGAACUGGCUGGCAUGACACAAUUUUGAAGCAAAGGUGCAGACACCAACCUGAUGCUGAAGACUAUGGGAGCGACGGCGCUCCACUAUCUGAAGGGGAAUUUCUGCGAGAGCACAGAAAGUUGCCGAGAGGCGGCAACCUCGUCACUUCUGGGCGGCAGGGAGGGAGGUGGUGGAUGUCGUCCUUCAGGAGGCAGAGUCGUCGACGUGGCCGUGGUUGGGUGCCUCAAGUCUGCAGCGUGGGAGUCCUGCACCGGAUCUUCCUCUCCGGCUCCCCUUACUCCGCCACCCCCACCCCUCACCAUCU